UACCUGGCGGCCAUGGCGAACCGGAACCACCCGAUCCCAUCUCGAACUCGGAAGUGAAACGGUUCAGCGCCGAUGAUAGUGUGGGGCCUCCCCAUGUGAAAGUAGGUCACUGCCAGGCAC
rnacentral:rRNA from 1 species